AUGGGUGGUGGGGAAGGCGCUAGCCCCCGUCGCAGAUGGCGUGCUGGAGGCUUGGGCAGCCACCAAGAACUUUGGUCCCAACGUCUAGGCCCUCAGGAUGGAACUGCUGCCGUGCAAGCAACGCUUGAAAAUGCCGGCCGCAAGGAGAUCGGUGGCCCGGCCAUGGAGGAGCUGUUGCAGAGGCUGCGGGACUCGGCGCACAAUGCCCAAGACUUGCUGGACGAGCUGGACUACUUCCGCAUCCACGACGAGCUCCAUGGCACGUACAAUGCUGCCGACCAGCACGACAAGGGUGGCUUCCACGACCUUGCCCUCAAUGCUCGCCACACUGCCAAAGCUGUUGGCAAACUGGUUAGCUGUUGCCCUUGGCAGCAUGCUAAGCGCCGGCAGAGGAUCCACAUAUUCGUGAGAAAGAUUGUGGCAGUGUGCAAGAAAUGGCAAAGUUUGAGUUUAAUAGGGUUGAUUUCUCUCGAAAGAUGA
rnacentral:rRNA from 1 species